GAUGAAGAACGCAGCAAAAUGCGAUAAGUAAUGUGAAUUGUAGAAUUCAGUGAAUCAUCGAAUCUUUGAACGCACAUUGCGCCCGCCAGUAUUCUGGCGGGCAUGCCUGUUCGAGCGUCAUUUCAACCCUCAAGCACAGCUUGGUGUUGGGACUCGCGUUAAUUCGCGUUCCCCAAAUUGAUUGGCGGUCACGUCGAGCUUCCAUAGCGUAGUAGUAAAACCCUCGUUACUGGUAAUCGUCGCGGCCACGCCGUUAAACCCCAACUUCUGAAUGUUGACCUCGGAUCAGGUAGGAAUACCCGCUGAACUUAAGCAUAUCAAUAAGCGGAGGA
rnacentral:misc_RNA from 1 species